rnacentral:rRNA from 1 species
GACGAACGCUGGCGGCGUGCUUAACACAUGCAAGUCGAGCGGUAAGGCCCUUUCGGGGGUACGACGAGCGGCGAACGGGUGAGUAACACGUGGGUGACCUGCCUUCAGCUCUGGGAUAAGCCUGGGAAACUGGGUCUAAUACCGGAUAUGACUCCAUGAUGCAUGUUGUGGGGUGGAAAGCUUUUGCGGCUGGAGAUGGGCCCGCGGCCUAUCAGCUUGUUGGUGGGGUGAGGCCUACCAAGGCGACGACGGGUAGCCGGCCUGAGAGGGCGACCGGCCACACUGGGACUGAGACACGGCCCAGACUCCUACGGGAGGCAGCAGUGGGGAAUCUUGCGCAAUGGGCGAAAGCCUGACGCAGCGACGCCGCGUGAGGGAUGACGGCCU